AGAGUUUGAUCAUGGCUCAGGAUGAACGCUAGCGGCAGGCUUAACACAUGCAAGUCGAGGGGCAGCGGGAUGUAGCAAUACAUUGCCGGCGACCGGCGGAUGGGUGCGUAACGCGUAUACAACCUACCUUAUACAGGGGAAUAACCUUUCGAAAGGGAGACUAACACCCCAUAGUAUUGAUUUAAGGCAUCUUAGAUUAAUUAAAUAUUUAUAGGUAUAAGAUGGGCAUGCGUAUGAUUAGCUAGUUGGUAAGGUAACGGCUUACCAAGGCGACGAUCAUUAGGGGUUCUGAGAGGAAGGUCCCCCACACUGGUACUGAGACACGGACCAGACUCCUACGGGAGGCAGCAGUGAGGAAUAUUGGUCAAUGGGCGCAAGCCUGAACCAGCCAUGCCGCGUGCAGGAAAGACGGCCUUAUGGGUUGUAAACUGCUUUUACAUAAGACUAACCGUAUAUUUGCGAAUAUACCUGAAUGUAUUAUGAGAAUAAGGAUCGGCUAACUCCGUGCCAGCCGCUGC
rnacentral:rRNA from 1 species